AGAGGAACUGUCUUUAGAUCUGCCAAUAGAGGCAAAUCCAAAAGCCAUCAAUUCAAUGUAACCUGCAUCAGAUGUGCUAUAAUUGGAUCUGCAAAUCUCCAGCAAGUCCUGGAUGCACUGAGCUUACAGCCUGUACUGUCGCGGGCAGACAGACCUACGGAUCUGGACUCCACACUCACUUUGUACCAAGCCCCUUUUCCUGCUGUUAUGGUCACUCUUUCUCUGCUCCUCUGAGUCCUAAUGUCAGCGGUUCCAUUCUGGCCGCUUGAAUGAUGGGAAAGGAAACUCCUCUCCUCCUUCAUGAGCCAACAAUGGACAUGAGCCAGCAAUAUGCAUUUGCAGCCCAGAGGGCCAGCCGCAUCCUAGGCUGCAUCAAAUGAAGCGUGGCUAGCAGGUUCAGCAAGGUGAUUCUUCCCCUCUGCUCUGCUCUGGUAGGACCCCAGUUGAAGUACUGCAUAUCACUCUGGAGCUCUCAGCACAGGAAAGUCAUGGACCUGUUGGAGUGGGUUCAGAGGAGGGCCACAGAAAAAAAAUCAAAGGGAUAGGACACCUCUACUAUGAUGAAAGGCUGAGAGAGCUGGGGUUGUUCUGACUGGAGAAGACCCUGAGGAGACCUUACAGUGGCCUUUCAGUACUUGAAAGGGGCUUAUAAAAAAGAUGGACAAGGGCUUUUUAGUAGGCUGUGUUGUGAUAAGACACUGGGUAAUGGUUUUAAACUAAAAGAGAAUAGAUUCAGACUAGAUCUAAGGAAGAAAUUGCUUGCAAUGAGGGUGGAAAGGCACUGAAACAAGUUGUCCAGGAAAGUUGUGGA